rnacentral:rRNA from 1 species
ACACAUGCAGUCGAGCGGAUGAAGGAGCUUGCUCCUGGAUUCAGCGGCGGACGGGUGAGUAAUGCCUAGGAAUCUGCCUGGUAGUGGGGGACAACGUUUCGAAAGGAACGCUAAUACCGCAUACGUCCUACGGGAGAAAGCAGGGGACCUUCGGGCCUUGCGCUAUCAGAUGAGCCUAGGUCGGAUUAGCUAGUCGGUGAGGUAAUGGCUCACCAAGGCGACGAUCCGUAACUGGUCUGAGAGGAUGAUCAGUCACACUGGAACUGAGACACGGUCCAGACUCCUACGGGAGGCAGCAGUGGGGAAUAUCGGACAAUGGGCGAAAGCCUGAUCCAGCCAUGCCGCGUGUGUGAAGAAGGUCUUCGGAUUGUAAAGCACUUUAAGUUGGGAGGAAGGGUUGUAGAUUAAUACUCUGCAAUUUUGACGUUACCGACAGAAUAAGCACCGGCUAACUCUGUGCCAGCAGCCGCGGUAAUACAGAGGGUGCAAGCGUUAAUCGGAAUUACUGGGCGUAAAGCGCGCGUAGGUGGUUUGUUAAGUUGGAUGUGAAAUCCCCGGGCUCAACCUGGGAACUGCAUCCAAAACUGGUAAGCUAGAGUAUGGUAGAGGGUGGUGGAAUUUCCUGUGUAGCGGUGAAAUGCGUAGAUAUAGGAAGGAACACCAGUGACGAAAGCGACCACCUGGACUGAUACUGACACUGAGGUGCGAAAGCGUGGGGAGCAAACAGGA